AUACGGAGGGUGCAAGCGUUAUUCGGAAUCACUGGGCGUAAAGGACGCGUAGGAGGGUUGGCAAGUCAGAUGUGAAAUCCUACAGCUUAACUGUAGAACUGCAUUUGAAACUGCUAACCUAGAGUAUGGGAGGGGGAGAUGGAAUUAGUGGUGUAGGGGUAAAAUCCGUAGAUAUCACUAGGAAUACCGAAAGCGAAGGCGAUCUCCUGGAACAUAACUGACGCUAAAGCGUGAAAGCGUGGGGAGCAAACAGGAUUAGAAACCCCAGUAGUCC
rnacentral:rRNA from 1 species